rnacentral:rRNA from 1 species
GAUGAACGCUGGCGGCGUGCCUAAUACAUGCAAGUCGAGCGAACGGACGAGAAGCUUGCUUCUCUGAUGUUAGCGGCGGACGGGUGAGUAACACGUGGAUAACCUACCUAUAAGACUGGGAUAACUUCGAGAAACCGUAGCUAAUACCGGAUAAUCUUUUGAACCGCAGGGUUCAAUAGUAAAAGACGGUCUUGCUGGCACUACUAGAUGGUUCCCCGCUGCAUGAGCUAGUUGGUAAGGUAACAGCUUACCAAGGCAACGAUGCGUAGCCGACCGGAUAGAGUGGUCGGCCACACUGGAACUGAGACACGCUCCAGACUCCUACGGGAGGCAGCAGUAGGGAAUCUUCCGCAAUGGGCGAAAGCCUGACGGAGCAACGCCGCGUGAGUGAUGAAGGUCUUCGGAUCGUAAAACUCUGUUAUGAGGGAAGAACAUAUGUGUAAGGAACUGUGCACAGCUUGACGGUACCUAAUCAGAAAGCCACGGCUAACUACGUG